GACAAGAAAUAGCAAACUGGAUGAAUUUUCAUCACAGUAUUGCAAUGAGAACAAUGUAAAUGCUUUAUCGAUUAACAAUUGGAGGGCAAGUCUGGUGCCAGCAGCCGCGGUAAUUCCAGCUCCAAUAGCGUAUAUUAAAGUUGUUGCAGUUAAAAAGCUCGUAGUUGAACUUCUGUACAUUCCCAGUUCUGGCUUCGGUCAAGCUGUGGAGUGUGCAUCCGCUUGCAAACUUAGACCGGCCUUCACUGGUCGACUAAGGGAGUAAGCCCUUUACUUUGAAAAAAUUAGAGUGUUUCAGGCAGGCAAUGGCUCGAAUACAUUAGCAUGGAAUAAUGGAAUAGGACUUUUGUCCAUUUGGUUGGUUAUUGGACAUAAGUAAUGAUUAAAAGGGACAGUUGGGGGCAUUAGUACUUAAUUGUCAGAGGUGAAAUUCUUGGAUUUAUUAAAGACUAACUUAUGCGAAAGCAUUUGCCAAGGAUGUUUUCAUUAAUCAAGAACGAAAGUUAGGGGAUCA
rnacentral:rRNA from 1 species